ACUGGCUUCCACUUGUCCAAAUAGCAUGAAAUUUGGUGUUCUGCUCAUUGAAUGUGUUCUGUUUAAGCUUGAAUUUUCUGGGAAUUUAUUGAGCUAUUUUGGUAUUGGUUUGAUUGUGAUCAUUCUGUUUACACCAUUGAGUUCUCAAAAUGCAUAGUUUGACAUGUUUAGCUUAUGAAAUGGAUUUGGUGCAUAGUUUUGAUGUGAGACCAAUUGGAUUCUAUUCUUGUUUGAUAAAUCUUGAUUUUGAUCAAUUUUCACUUGCUGUUUUGAAUUUUUC
rnacentral:lncRNA from 1 species